rnacentral:rRNA from 1 species
GAUGAACGCUGGCGGCGUGCCUAAUACAUGCAAGUCGAGCGCAGGAAGCAUUUAGAAGUCUUCGGACGGACGAAUGUGGAAUGAGCGGCGGACGGGUGAGUAACACGUAGGUAACCUACCCAUCAGACUGGGAUAACCACCGGAAACGGUGGCUAAUACCGGAUAACCCUUUUAAACAAAAGUUUAAAGUUGAAAGGCGGUUUCGGCUGUCACUGAUGGAUGGACCUGCGGCGCAUUAGCUGGUUGGUGAGGUAGUGGCUCACCAAGGCGACGAUGCGUAGCCGACCUGAGAGGGUGAUCGGCCACACUGGGACUGAGACACGGCCCAGACUCCUACGGGAGGCAGCAGUAGGGAAUCUUCCGCAAUGGACGAAAGUCUGACGGAGCAACGCCGCGUGAGUGAAGAAGGGUUUCGGCUCGUAAAACUCUGUUGUUAAGGAAGAAUGACGGGUAUUUAACUGAUGCCCGUGUGACGGUACUUAACCAGAAAGCCACGGCUAACUACGUGCCAGCCGCCGCUGUAA